rnacentral:rRNA from 1 species
UACGUAGGGGGCAAGCGUUGUCCGGAAUUAUUGGGCGUAAAGCGCGCGCAGGCGGCUGUUUAAGUUUGGUGUUUAAUCCCGGGGCUCAACUCCGGGUCGCAUCGAAAACUGGACGGCUUGAGUGCAGAAGAGGAGAGUGGAAUUCCACGUGUAGCGGUGAAAUGCGUAGAGAUGUGGAGGAACACCAGUGGCGAAGGCGGCUACCUGGACAAAUACUGACGCUGAGGCGCGAGAGCGUGGGGAGCAAACAGG